rnacentral:rRNA from 1 species
UACGGGGGGGGCAAGCGUUGUUCGGAAUUACUGGGCGUAAAGGGCGCGUAGGCGGUUCGCUAAGUCGGAUGUGAAAACUCUGGGCUCAACCCAGAGCCUGCAUCCGAAACUGGCGGGCUAGAGUUCUGGAGGGGGUAGCGGAAUUCCUGGUGUAGCGGUGAAAUGCGUAGAUAUCUGGAGGAACACCGGUGGCGAAGGCGGCAUCCUGGACCGGUAUUGACGCUGAUGCGCGAAAGCCAGGGGAGCAAACGGG